rnacentral:rRNA from 1 species
UACAGAGGGGGCAAGCGUUAUUCGGAAUUAUUGGGCGUAAAGGGCGCGUAGGCGGCUUGGCAAGUGGAUGGUGAAAUCCCUCGGCUUAACCGAGGAACGGCCGUCCAAACUGCUUCGCUUGAGACCGGGAGAGGUGAGUGGAAUUCCCAGUGUAGCGGUGAAAUGCGUAGAUAUUGGGAGGAACACCAGUGGCGAAGGCGGCUCACUGGACCGGUACUGACGCUGAAGCGCGAAAGCGUGGGGAGCGAACGGG